rnacentral:rRNA from 1 species
AUACGGAGGGUGCAAGCGUUGUCCGGAUUUAUUGGGUUUAAAGGGUGCGUAGGUGGCUUUUUAAGUCAUUGGAGAAAUUUUGCAGCUCAACUGUAAAACUGCCAUUGAAACUGGGAAGCUUGAGUGUCGUAGAGGCAGGCGGAAUUUAUGAUGUAGCGGUGAAAUGCAUAGAUAUCAUAAAGAACACCGAUAGCGAAGGCAGCUUGCUAAGCGAUAACUGACACUAAUGCACGAAAGCGUGGGUAGCGAACAGGAUUAGAAACCCUAGUAGUCC